rnacentral:rRNA from 1 species
UACGAAGGGGGCUAGCGUUGUUCGGAUUUACUGGGCGUAAAGCGCACGUAGGCGGAUUGUUAAGUGAGAGGUGAAAUCCCGGAGCUCAACUCCGGAACUGCCUUUCAUACUGGCAAUCUAGAGUCCGGAAGAGGUGAGUGGAACUCCUAGUGUAGAGGUGGAAUUCGUAGAUAUUAGGAAGAACACCAGUGGCGAAGGCGGCUCACUGGCCCGGUACUGACGCUGAGGUGCGAAAGCGUGGGGAGCAAACAGG